rnacentral:rRNA from 1 species
UACGUAGGGUGCAAACGUUGUUCGGAAUCACUGGGCAUAAAGAGCGCGUAGGCGGUCUGACAAGUCCCCUGUGAAAGCCCCCGGCUUAACCGGGGAACUGCAUGGGAUACUGUCGGGCUAGAGUGCAGGAGGGGAGAGCGGAAUUCCUGGUGGAGCGGUGAAAUGCGUAGAUAUCAGGAGGAACGCCGGCGGCGAAAGCGACUCUCUGGGCUGUAACUGACGCUGAGGCGCGAAAGCUAGGGGAGCAAACGGG